rnacentral:rRNA from 1 species
AUUGAACGCUGGCGGCAGGCCUAACACAUGAAAGUCGAGCGAGCGGCGGACGGGUGAGUCAUGCCUGGGAAUUGCCCAGUCGAGGGGGAUAACAGUUGGAAACGACUGCUAAUACCGCAUACGAUUGGAUUGCCCAGGUGGGAUUAGCUAGUUGGUGAGGUAAUGGCUCACCAAGGCGACGAUCCCUAGCUGGUACGAGGGGAUUAUCCGCCUCACUGGAACUGAGACACGGUCCACACUCCUCCUUCCCUCCUCCUUCCUUUCUCUUACCCCCUAUAACAAACCCUGCUUCAGCCAUGCCGCGUGUGUGAAUAAUUCCUUCAGCUUUUCCCGCACUUUCAGCGAGGAGGCGUUACUCGCAGAAGAAGCACCGGCUAACUCCGUGCCAGCAGCCGCGGUAAUUC